rnacentral:rRNA from 1 species
CUUUACACUGCACGGAAGUGCGAUAGGGGAAUCCCAAGUGCGAGGGCAUAUUAGCCCUCGCUUUUCUCGACUGUAAGGUGGUCGACGAAUAAGAGCUGGGCAAGACCGGUGCCAGCCGCCGCGGUAAUACCGGCANUCAAGUGAUGUCCCAUAUUAUUGGGCCUAAAGCGUCGUAGCUGGCGACAAGUCUACCGGGAAAUCCACCCGCCCAACGGGUGGGCGUCCGGUAGAAACUGGGCGGCUUGGAACCGGAAGGCUCAGAGAGUACGUCCGGGGUAGGAGUGAAAUCCCGUAAUCCCGGACGGACUACCGAUGGCGAAAGCACUCUGAGAAGACGGCUUCGACAGUGAGGGACGAAAGCUCGGGUCUCAAACCGGAUUAGAUACCCGGGUAGUCCGAGCUGUAAACGAUGCUCGUUAGGUGUGGCACCCACUACGAGUGGGUGCUGUGCCGUAGGGAAGCCGGUAAACGAGCCGCCUGGGAAGUA